rnacentral:ncRNA from 1 species
UUCCUUCCUUAAAGGAGAGAAUGUUGGCUAUCUCCUCUUAUAAGGUCGGGAUUAGUCUUUGGGCUUUUCCAUUAUAUGCAUACAUAAUUAAGGCUAAAUCGUAUCCAAAUUUUUUUCUUUU